rfam:Triticum aestivum genome assembly, contig: Triticum_aestivum_CS42_TGACv1_scaffold_473614_6AL
AAGUUACUCCCUCCGUUCGAAAAAACUUAUCCCAAGCUUGUCCCUCAAACAGAUGUAUCUAGCAUUAACUUGAUGUUAGAUACGUCCAUUUAAGAGACAAGUUUUUUCGGACGGAGGGAGUAUCUG